GGUGAGGUUUUGGUGAGAUUGCUACCAACUCUAGCCUAAAUUCAGUAGAGGUGGGCUGCCGGCCAUCUCUAGUCAAGUUUAAUUUUCAACAUUAUGUAGAAAGCAAGAAGACUGAGGAAGACUUCCAUCCUCCAAUGUGGGACAUGGGAAUUAGAAAAUUAAAGUGGGGGACUGAAGAGAGGAGAAGACAAUGAGUAGGAAAUGGUUGGGAGACAUUCAUCCCACAUAAAAAAUGCAAGACAAAUUUGCUAUCCAUAUUUGCUUAUAAAAGCCAUUGCCCCAAAGAACCUACUUGCUCUUCUUAAACCCCCUUGUGGGCUUGCUUGUUAGUUGGCCUUGGCUAGAUUACUUGUUUUAAGCAUUAGAAAUGGGCUUAGUCGGAGUUACAAAAUAUUGAUUGCACAUAAAUAAAAGAAACUGGGUUUGAUUUCAUUAAAAACUAAACCAAACUGUUUAGCUGAAUGUGAAAAAUCAAUGGUGUUGGCUUGGUUCGGUCUCAAUUUGCUACUUUGAAAAAUUGACGUGUUUGGUUCAGUUCUUGGUUUAGCCUAAAAUCAAACAGAGCUAAAUAUAUUAAAUCCCUACAAAAUGAGAAUUCCCAAAUUUGGUCUCAUCUUUCUUUAUUAAACUUAAUGACACUUUAUCCAUCUCUGAAUUCACCAAAUGGCAUACUAUUACAUGUAGUAAACAAGUUUUUACAAAUAUAAUUUUUUUGAUGAAAAAAAUCCUUCUCUACUUUGUAUGAGUUUUCUUCUAGGAAUCAAAAUCUUAGCUGAAGCAACUGCGAGUGGUAUAUAUGAGUUUUCUUUUUUUCCUUUUUUGUUGUUUGCUUUGCAGGGCAGAUAACAAUGCAGAUUUCCUUAAUUCAUACGUCCUUCAUUUUUUCUGCUAGGUUAAAUCGUCUUUCAUUUUUGUGAUAAUAGAAUAAUGUUUUAGAGAAUUAGUGGGGAUCAUGAAUUUGGGAUGUCAAAAGUUUUUGGCAUGUCCCCACAUAAGUGGGUCCCAUGUGGGGUCUUACACAAACCGCAUUCAAACAAUUUGAAAGGAGCCCUGAUUCAUAUGCUACAUCAAUGAUUUAUAUAAGGACAUUCCAUCAUAAUCUCACAGGGUUAGGUUUAAUUUAAUGAGGAGUUUAGGUUCAAUUAUGCACUAUUCAAGAAGUUAAUGUUCAAUUGAGUCUUAAUUGGGGAAGUUGAGUUGCUUGUGACUUGUUUUAAUGGCUCAUGAAAUGAAAGUGACAUGCUAGGAAGACAAGAGCUUGAAGAUGAAAUUCGAGGAUUUUAUUAUUAUGGAUGUGAAGUUCAUAUUUAAGAAGGUGGAGAUGUAAUGCAUGCACAUAGUGAAUGAACCCAUUUUUUCAAUUUUAUUUGUGAAGAAAUGGGAGGAAAAGAGCGAUAAGGGGUAUGGAAUCAAAAGGAAAAUAUGCCCAAUGAGAGAAUACCUCCCAAUAUUUGCCCUUGAACAACCCGUUAAACACCCGUAUCAUUUGAUAAAUCUUAAACUUUAAAUAAUAAUAAAAUGGGAUAAUAUUGGAUUAUAUAAGGAAAUUUAUUUUGAAGGCUCAACUAAGCAUAACCAUUAUUUUCUACAGUACUGAGGUUUCAUUCGGAAAAGACAUAACACAAGGUAACAAACACAUAGAAAUAACAACAUAGCAACAAUAAAAGCAACCAACUGGAGUUUUAGAAGGUAAAACAAGUCCCAUAACAUGAGGGAAAUGUGAGAAACUAUGGUGGGGGAGGUGAUGGGGUAAGAGGAGGGGGAUGGGGGAUGUAACGUAAGGGUGCUAACUCGGAUCUUUGCAAUGGAGGUGGCGACAAAGGCGGAAAAGGCAGCAAUAGACUUUUCACCUCCUCUAAGUCCAGUUUUCCCUGCGUUGCUCUUGCUCCAUCCUUCUCCUUCUCUUCAUUUUCAAUACUUUCCCUUACUAUUUUCUCAACCUUUUCUCCAUAUGUUGAUUCUUUGAGUUGGCGAGCAUUAUUAUAUUGCAGAAGAUGAGUGACUAUGAUUACCAAGCUCACCAUUAUAACCCAUUUAUGGACCAUCCUAUUAUAGCUUUUUGAAUCCAUUUUCAAAAUCCAAAUUGCUAAAUAGAGCUUGAUAAGGGAUUUAUCUU